rnacentral:sRNA from 2 species
GUUUAAAAAAGGCCGAAUCUCCGGCAGAACCGGAGUACGGGGGACUAUCCUUCCCGGGGUGAAUCAGCUCUCUUAAAGCAAGGCAAGCGGACAGAGAGCGGUAGGGUACCCUUCAACCCGAACCCGUCAACUAACCUCGAAGGCCAAAAGGAGGGUAAUA